CUUCAGGCAAAACGACUGUAUGGAAAUAAAUUUAUUCUAGCAGCAUCUGAUGCCGGGGAACUACAUUUCCCAGAGUUUUCCACGGACUAAGACACAAUCAUCAAGUCCAACAGAGACUGUAAAUUUAGGAGGAGAGGCUCUGUAAGGCUUUUUCUUGCUUCCCCCCUCCCCGUUGUCUGAAGAGUUUUGUUAGAGCAGCUGAGCUGAAUUAUCUGCCCUGUGAAUAGUCUUUCUGAAACUGAGCUGAUCCAGGAAUGAAGACUUCAUUCUCAUUGAUUUUCAUGAAUCCAAGGCACAAGUGAAAGCAGUGCAGCACAUUGCAGUGGAAGCUGUGGACUGCUACUUCAGUCAGGUCAAUGGAGAAAAUCAACUUCUGCUUCCAACCCAAUACUCAACUGACCUAAAAGACAGAGAUAAGGAGAGAGGAAGAAAGGGAGAAAAAUACACCCAAAAACCUGCCCCUCCUAGAAGUCUUCUCUCCUGUAAGAACUGUCUAGAAUGAGAGAUUUCAAGAAACAGCGCAGUCCUUGGAGACCAAUUGUCAGAUUUCAAGAAACAGCGCAGUCCUCGGAGACCAAUUGUGUUAUGAUGCAGAAGAGAAAGUCUCCGAACUCCGUGGUAAGGUUUGCCUGUCUUUGUUAAAAGCCAAUCUGCUCUUUCCAGAAAUAUCUGCCACCUCAGAAAAGUGGCUUGGGUCUCUAGAAACAGUAGGGGAUGAUCUCUCAAGGGAAAAAGUUUAUGACCAUAUAUGUUCCUCGAGACUCUCCCUGAUUCAAGAACCUUAACUGCUGACACAGUUAUAGUUUCAUUUGCUAGUCUCAACCAGUCAGUAUUAAA